GAUGAACGCUGGCGGCGUGCUUAACACAUGCAAGUCGAACGGUGAAGGCGGAGCUUGCUCUGCUGGAUCAGUGGCGAACGGGUGAGUAACACGUGAGCAAUCUGCCCCUGACUCUGGGAUAAGCGCUGGAAACGGCGUCUAAUACUGGAUACGAGCUGCGAAGGCAUCUUCAGCAGCUGGAAAGAACUUCGGUCAGGGAUGAGCUCGCGGCCUAUCAGCUUGUUGGUGAGGUAAUGGCUCACCAAGGCGUCGACGGGUAGCCGGCCUGAGAGGGUGACCGGCCACACUGGGACUGAGACACGGCCCAGACUCCUACGGGAGGCAGCAGUGGGGAAUAUUGCACAAUGGGCGAAAGCCUGAUGCAGCAACGCCGCGUGAGGGACGACGGCCUUCGGGUUGUAAACCUCUUUUAGCAGUGAAGAAGCGAAAGUGACGGUACCUGCAGAAAAAGCGCCGGCUAACUACGUG
rnacentral:rRNA from 1 species